GAUACAAUCAUGAUAUGGAUGAACGUGAAAGUAAAACCACAUAAGAUAUCAGAUAAUUCAAGCUAUCAGUUGUUAAAAAAAAAAUUGAGCUAUAUGUAGGAAUAAAAGAAUUCGCUUGCUCGCUUUGAAAUUUCGAGGCGCGCAGAAACAUGAAGUUGUCGGGCGAAAACCUGCGAGGUUUGCUUUUUCAACGAUCGUUCUCUGCUUAUUGUAACGUCUUUCCUAUAUAAGAAGCUUUUUCUUUCCUAUUUUUUUUAACGAAUUAUAUUGUGCUUCGUGUCAUUUUAAUUACAAAAAUAUCACGGAC
rnacentral:misc_RNA from 1 species